rnacentral:rRNA from 1 species
GACGAACGCUGGCGGCGUGGAUUAGGCAUGCAAGUCGAACGGUAUCAUCCUUUCGGGGGUGAGAGAGUGGCGAACUGGUGAGUAACACGUAGGUUAUCUACCCUCAAGACGGGGACAACCCAGGGAAACUUGGGCUAAUACCGGAUGUGAGCAACUUUUAGUUGUUUGAAAGGUGGCGUAAGCUGUCGCUUGGGGAUGAGCCUGCGUCCUAUUAGUUAGUUGGUGAGGUAACGGCUCACCUAGGCAAUGAUAGGUAGGCGGCCUUAACGGGUGGUCGCCCACACUGGGAUUGAGAUACGGCCCAGACUCCUACGGGAGGCAGCAGUCGAGAAUAGUCUACAAUGGUCGGAAGACUGAUAGUGCGACGCCGCGUGAACGAUGAAUCCCUUCGGGGUGUAAAGUCUUUUAUAUGUGAGCAGUGCUUCUUAUAUUAACAGUAUGGGGAAGAGAUAUUAGCAUAUGAAUAAGCAACGGCUAAACUCCGUGCCAGCAGCCGCGGUAAGACG